UACGAAGGGGGCUAGCGUUGCUCGGAAUCACUGGGCGUAAAGGGUGCGUAGGCGGGUCUUUAAGUCAGGGGUGAAAUCCUGGAGCUCAACUCCAGAACUGCCUUUGAUACUGAAGAUCUUGAGUCCGGGAGAGGUGAGUGGAACUGCGAGUGUAGAGGUGAAAUUCGUAGAUAUUCGCAGGAACACCAGUGGCGAAGGCGGCUUACUGGUCCAUAACUGACGCUGAGGUGCGAAAGCGUGGGGAGCAAACAGG
rnacentral:rRNA from 1 species